rnacentral:rRNA from 1 species
AGCAGCCGCGGUAAUCCCAGCUCCAAUAGCGUAUAUUAAAGUUGUUGCAGUUAAAAGCUCGUAGUUGAAUUUCGGGGUCAGUAGGUUGGUCAUGCCUUUGGUAUGUACUGGUCUCACUGAUUCCUCCCUCUUGAAGAACUGUAAUGUCAUUAAUUUGGUGUUGCGGGGAAUCAGGACUGUUACUUUGAAGAAAUUAGAGUGUUUAAAGCAGGCUUACGCUUGAAUACAUUAGCAUGGAAUAAUGAAAUAGGACGUUUGAUCCUAUUUUGUUGGUUUCUAGGAUUGACGUAAUGAUUAAUAGGGAUAGUUGGGGGCAUUAGUAUUCAAUUGUCAGAGGUGAAAUUCUUGGAUUUAUUGAAGACUAACUACUGCGAAAGCAUUUGCCAAGGAUGUUUUCAUUAAUCAAGAACGAAAGUUAGGGGAUCGAAGACGAUCAGAUACCGUCGUAGUCUUAACCAUAAACUAUGCCGACUAGGGAUCGGAUGAUGUUAAUUUUUUAAUGACUCAUUCGGCGCCUUAC